rnacentral:rRNA from 1 species
CGCCUGGGGAGUGCGGCCGCAAGGUUAAAACUCAAAUGAAUUGACGGGGGCCCGCACAAGCGGUGGAGCAUGUGGUUUAAUUCGACGCAACGCGAAGAACCUUACCUGGCCUUGACAUCCAGAGAACUUUCCAGAGAUGGAUUGGUGCCUUCGGGAGCUCUGAGACAGGUGCUGCAUGGCCGUCGUCAGCUCGUGUCGUGAGAUGUUGGGUUAAGUCCCGUAACGAGCGCAACCCCUAUCCCUGGUUGCUAGCAGGUAAUGCUGAGAACUCCAGGGAGACUGCCGGUGACAAACCGGAGGAAGGUGGGGAUGACGUCAGGUCAUCAUGGCCCUUACGGCCAGGGCUACACACGUGCUACAAUGGCGCGUACAGAGGGCUGCCAACUCGCGAGAGUGAGCCAAUCCCUUAAAACGCGUCGUAGUCCGGAUCGGAGUCUGCAACUCGACUCCGUGAAGUCGGAAUCGCUAGUAAUCGCGAAUCAGAAUGUCGCGGUGAAUACGUUCCCGGGCCUUGUACACACCGCCCGUCACACCAUGGAAGUGGAUUGCACCAGAAGUAGUUAGUCUAACCUUCGGGAGGACGAUUACCACGGUGUGGUUCAUGACUGGGGUGAAGUCGUAACAAGGUAACCGUA